AGCGCUUCUACCUCUUUGGGCCGUUACCUCAAAAGGGAGAGACAAAGGCAGCGCUGCCCUCGGGGGAGUAUUGGCCCUGGCGGAACGCAGCAACCACGAGGGAUCCAGCCAGAGGAUGCCACGCCAGCCCAGCGCUACCAGGCUGCCCAAGGGGGGCGGGCCUGGGAAGAGCCCUACGCAGGGCAGCACCUAGGAUGGGGCAGAGACUUGUCACAUCUUUGUCCCCAGCAAAGGCUACAUGUUACCUCCUUCAGUUGAUAAUAAACCUUUCUGAGAUGCAGAGGGUCCAGGUCA
rnacentral:lncRNA from 1 species